rnacentral:rRNA from 1 species
GGGGGCCCGCACAAGCGGUGGAGCAUGUGGUUUAAUUCGAAGCAACGCGAAGAACCUUACCAGGUCUUGACAUCCUUUGACCACUCUAGAGAUAGAGCUUUCCCUUCGGGGACAAAGUGACAGGUGGUGCAUGGUUGUCGUCAGCUCGUGUCGUGAGAUGUUGGGUUAAGUCCCGCAACGAGCGCAACCCUUAUUGUUAGUUGCCAUCAUUUAGUUGGGCACUCUAGCGAGACUGCCGGUGACAAACCGGAGGAAGGUGGGGAUGACGUCAAAUCAUCAUGCCCCUUAUGACCUGGGCUACACACGUGCUACAAUGGGAAGUACAACGAGUCGCUAGACCGCGAGGUCAUGCAAAUCUCUUAAAGCUUCUCUCAGUUCGGAUUGCAGGCUGCAACUCGCCUGCAUGAAGCCGGAAUCGCUAGUAAUCGCGGAUCAGCACGCCGCGGUGAAUACGUUCCCGGGCCUUGUACACACCGCCCGUCAUACCACGAGAGUUUGUAACACCCGAAGUCGGUGAGGUAACCUUUUUGGAGCCAGCCGCCUAAGGUGGGAUAGAUGAUUGGGGUGAAGUCGUAACAAGGUAACCAAGGGCGAAUUCGCGGCC